GGAGGCGUGCGUGAGUGGUUGAAACGGCUUGUCUUGAAAACAAGUAUGCCGCAAGGCAUCGGAGGUUCGAAUCCUCUCGCCUCCUCAA
rnacentral:tRNA from 1 species